rnacentral:rRNA from 1 species
AGAGUUUGAUCAUGGCUCAGAACGUACGCUGGCGGCACGCCUAACACAUGCAAGUCGAACGAAGUAGCAAUACUUAGUGGCAGACGGGUGAGUAACAUGUAGGUAUCUGCCCUUUGGCCUGGAAUAACACGAGGAAACUUGUGCUAAUACCGGAUAAGUCUUUACGGAGAAAGCUUUAUGCACCAUUGGAUGAGCCUGCACUUGAUUAGUUUGUUGGUAGGGUAAUGGCCUACCAAGACUGUGAUCAAUAGCUGAUUUGAGAGGAUGAUCAGCCACAUUGGGACUGAGACACGGCCCAAACUCCUACGGGAGGCAGCAGUGGGGAAUCUUGCACAAUGGAGGAAACUCUGAUGCAGCGAUGCCGCGUGAGUGAAGAAGGCCCUUGGGUUGUAAAGCUCUUUCGUCGGGGAAGAAAAUGACUGUACCCGAAUAAGAAGGUCCGGCUAACUUCGUGCCAGCAGCCGCGGUAAUACGAAGGGGACCUAGCGUAGUUCGGAAUUACUGGGCUUAAGAGUUCGUAGGUGGUGAAAAAGUUGGUGGUGAAAUCCAGAGCUUAACUCUGGAACUGCCAUCAAA